rnacentral:tRNA from 1 species
GACUCGGCUAGCCGGGUGAGGUGCGCCGGAUCGACCUGCGAUCGACCGGAGUGCAGGUCGAGGUGACCUGCGGCCAGCUUCGAGAGCUUGGCGAAGCCGCC